UACGUAGGGUGCGAGCGUUGCCCGGAUUUAUUGGGCGUAAAGGGCGCGUAGGCGGUCACGCACGUCCGUUGUGAAAUCGCUCGGCUCAACUGGGCGGGGUCAGCGGAUACGGCGUGGCUGGAGCAAGCUAGGGGGCAAUGGAAUUCCCGGUGUAGUGGUGGAAUGCGUAGAUAUCGGGAGGAACACCAGUGGCGAAGGCGGUUGCCUGGAGCUUUGCUGACGCUGAUGCGCGAAAGCGUGGGGAGCGAUCCGG
rnacentral:rRNA from 1 species